UGAGGAAUAUUGGUCAAUGGGCGAGAGCCUGAACCAGCCAAGUAGCGUGCAGGAUGACGGCCCUAUGGGUUGUAAACUGCUUUUAUGUGGGGAUAAAGUGCGUGACGUGUCAUGCAUUGCAGGUACCACAUGAAUAAGGACCGGCUAAUUCCGUGCCAGCAGCCGCGGUAAUACGUAAGGUCCGGGCGUUAUCCGGAUUUAUUGGGUUUAAAGGGAGCGUAGGCUGUCUAUUAAGCGUGUUGUGAAAUUUACCGGCUCAACCGGUGGCUUGCAGCGCGAACUGGUCGACUUGAGUAUGCAGGAAGUAGGCGGAAUUCAUGGUGUAGCGGUGAAAUGCUUAGAUAUCAUGACGAACUCCGAUUGCGCAGGCAGCUUACUGUAGCAUAACUGACGCUGAUGCUCGAAAGUGCGGGUAUCAAACAGG
rnacentral:rRNA from 1 species